GAUGAACGCUGGCGGCGUGCCUAAUACAUGCAAGUCGAGCGAACAGACGAGGAGCUUGCUCCUCUGACGUUAGCGGCGGACGGGUGAGUAACACGUGGAUAACCUACCUAUAAGACUGGGAUAACUUCGGGAAACCGGAGCUAAUACCGGAUAAUAUAUUGAACCGCAUGGUUCAAUAGUGAAAGACGGUUUUGCUGUCACUUAUAGAUGGAUCCGCGCCGCAUUAGCUAGUUGGUAAGGUAAAGGCUUACCAAGGCGACGAUGCGUAGCCGACAUGAGAGGGUGAUCGACCACGCUGGAACUGAGACACGGUCCAGACUCCUACGGGAGGCAGCAGUAGGGAAUCUUCCGCAAUGGGCGAAAGCCUGACGGAGCAACGCCGCGUGAGUGAUGAAGGUCUUCGGAUCGUAAAACUCUGUUAUUAGGGAAGAACAAAUGUGUAAGUAACUAUGCACGUCUUGACGGUACCUAAUCAGAAAGCCACGGCUAACUACGUG
rnacentral:rRNA from 1 species